GAUGAAGAACGCAGUGAAAUGCGAUAAGUAAUGUGAAUUGCAGAAUUCAGUGAAUCAUCGAAUCUUUGAACGCACAUUGCGCCCGCCAGUAUUCUGGCGGGCAUGCCUGUUCGAGCGUCAUUUCAACCAUCAAGCUCUGCUUGCGUUGGGGAUCCGCGGCUGCCCGCGGUCCCUCAAAACCAGUGGCGGGCUCGCUAGUCACACCGAGCGUAGUAACUUUACAUCGCUAUGGUCGUGCGGCGGGUGCUUGCCGUAAAACCCCCCAAUUUUUAAGGUUGACCUCGGAUCAGGUAGGAAUACCCGCUGAACUUAAGCAUAUCAAUAAGCGGAGGA
rnacentral:misc_RNA from 1 species